GAUGAACGCUGGCGGCGUGCUUAACACAUGCAAGUCGAACGAAACACCUUAUUUGAUUUUCUUCGGAACUGAAGAUUUGGUGAUUGAGUGGCGGACGGGUGAGUAACGCGUGGGUAACCUACCCUGUACAGGGGGAUAACAGUCAGAAAUGACUGCUAAUACCGCAUAAGACCACAGCACCGCAUGGUGCAGGGGUAAAAACUCCGGUGGUACAGGAUGGACCCGCGUCUGAUUAGCUGGUUGGUGAGGUAACGGCUCACCAAGGCGACGAUCAGUAGCCGGCUUGAGAGAGUGAACGGCCACAUUGGGACUGAGACACGGCCCAAACUCCUACGGGAGGCAGCAGUGGGGAAUAUUGCACAAUGGGGGAAACCCUGAUGCAGCGACGCCGCGUGAGUGAAGAAGUAUCUCGGUAUGUAAAGCUCUAUCAGCAGGGAAGAAAAUGACGGUACCUGACUAAGAAGCCCCGGCUA
rnacentral:rRNA from 1 species